UGCGUAGGCGGCUUGGUAAGUCAGAUGUGAAAUCCUGGGGCUCAACCUCGGAACUGCAUUUGAUACUGCCAGGCUAGAGUACUGGAGAGGAGACUGGAAUUUACGGCGUAGCAGUGAAAUGCGUAGAUAUCGUAAGGAAGGCCAGUGGCGAAGGCGAGUCUCUGGACAGUAACUGACGCUGAGGCACGAAGGCUAGGGGAGCAAACG
rnacentral:rRNA from 1 species